rnacentral:rRNA from 1 species
GACGAACGCUGGCGGCGUGCUUAACACAUGCAAGUCGAACGGAAAGGCCCUGCUUGCUGGGUGCUCGAGUGGCGAACGGGUGAGUAACACGUGGGUGAUCUGCCCCUUACUUUGGGAUAAGCCGGGGAAACUGGGUCUAAUACUGGAUAGGACCAGGCUGUAGGUGGUGUGGUGGAAAGAUUAGUUUCGUUAAGGGAUGAGCUCGCGGCCUAUCAGCUUGUUGGUGGGGUAAUGGCCUACCAAGGGGUCGGGGGGUAGCCGGCCUGAGAGGGUGGACGGGCACAAGGGAACUGAGAGACGCACUGGACCUGUACGGGGGGCAGGAGUGCGGAGGGAGGGACAAGGGGCGAAUGUCUGAUAAAGGGCUGACGCGUGAGGCAAGAAGGCCGUCGGGUUGUUGACGUCCUUCGGGAGGGAAGCACCUGUAGAGGAUGACAACGCCCGUUAGGGACGGUAACUGAUAGAUGAGCAACGGCCAACUUCGUG